rnacentral:rRNA from 1 species
UACGGAGGGGGCCAGCGUUGUUCGGAAUCAUUGGGCGUAAAGGGCGCGUAGGCGGCCGAUCAAGUCGGAGGUGAAAUCCCUCGGCUCAACUGAGGAAUUGCCUCCGAUACUGUUCGGCUUGAGUCCUGGAGAGGGUAGAGGAAUUCCCAGUGUAGCGGUGAAAUGCGUAGAGACUGGGAAGAACACCAGUGGCGAAGGCGGCUACCUGGACAGGUACUGACGCUGAAGCGCGAAAGCUAGGGGAGCAAACAGG